UACGUAGGGUGCGAGCGUUGUCCGGAAUUAUUGGGCGUAAAGAGCUUGUAGGCGGUUUGUCGCGUCUGCUGUGAAAUUUCGGGGCUCAACCCCGAGCUUGCAGUGGGUACGGGCAGACUAGAGUGUGGUAGGGGAGACUGGAAUUCCUGGUGUAGCGGUGAAAUGCGCAGAUAUCAGGAGGAACACCGAUGGCGAAGGCAGGUCUCUGGGCCACUACUGACGCUGAGAAGCGAAAGCAUGGGGAGCGAACAGG
rnacentral:rRNA from 1 species